UAUUAAGCGAUGAAUAGGAUGAGUAAAUUUAUUAUAGACAUUUAGAGAGGAAGUGGCUGGUGAAAACUUCUUGCUAGAUAUUUUGAAGCUACCUAGGAGCUAUAAAUUACUAAGUGAUGUAUAAGCAGUUAUACAUAAUUAGGGUGGUACCACGGAAUUUCAGCUUUCGUCCCUUUG
rnacentral:ncRNA from 1 species